rnacentral:rRNA from 1 species
UUAGGAAUUUUGGGCAAUGGCCGCAAGGCUGACCCAGCAACGCCGCGUGGGGGACGAAGGCCUUCGGGUUGUAAACCCCUUUUGUCAGGGACGAUGAUGACGGUACCUGACGAAGAAGCCCCGGCUAACUACGUGCCAGCAGCCGCGGUAAUACGUAGGGGGCGAGCGUUGUCCGGAUUCAUUGGGCGUAAAGCGCGCGUAGGCGGCUUGGCAAGUCGGCCGUGAAAUCUCCAGGCUCAACUUGGAGGGGUCGGGCGAGACUGCCAGGCUCGAGGUGGGCAGAGGGCAGUGGAAUUCCGGGUGUAGUGGUGGAAUGCGUAGAGAUCCGGAGGAACACCAGUGGCGAAGGCGGCUGCCUGGGCCUGGCCUGACGCUGAGGCGCGAAAGCGUGGGGAGCGAUCCG